AAAGCGUGCGCAGGCGGUUAUAUAAGACAGAUGUGAAAUCCCCGGGCUCAACCUGGGAACUGCAUUUGUGACUGUAUAGCUAGAGUGUGUCAGAGGGGGGUAGAAUUCCACGUGUAGCAGUGAAAUGCGUAGAUAUGUGGAGGAAUACCAAUGGCGAAGGCAGCCCCCUGGGAUAACACUGACGCUCAUGCACGAAAGCGUGGGGAGCAAACAGGAUUAGAUACCCUAGU
rnacentral:rRNA from 1 species